rnacentral:rRNA from 1 species
AGCGAACGCUGGCGGCAGGUUUAACACAUGCAAGUCGAGCGGGCACUUUCGGGUGUCCGCGGCGGACGGGUGAGUAACGCGUGGGAACGUGCCCUCUGGUUCGGAAUAACUCAGGGAAACUUGAGCUAAUACCGGAUACGCCCUUUUGGGGAAAGGCUUGCUGCCGGAGGAUCGGCCCGCGUCUGAUUAGCUAGUUGGUGAGGUAACGGCUCACCAAGGCGACGAUCAGUAGCUGGUCUGAGAGGAUGAUCAGCCACACUGGGACUGAGACACGGCCCAGACUCCUACGGGAGGCAGCAGUGGGGAAUAUUGGACAAUGGGCGCAAGCCUGAUCCAGCCAUGCCGCGUGAGUGAUGAAGGCCUUAGGGUUGUAAAGCUCUUUUAUCCGGGACGAUAAUGACGGUACCGGAGGAAUAAGCCCCGGCUAACUUCGUG